rnacentral:rRNA from 1 species
UACGGAGGGGGCUAGCGUUGUUCGGAAUCACUGGGCGUAAAGCGCGCGUAGGCGGUUGGUUGAGUCAGAGGUGAAAUCCCGGAGCUCAACUUCGGAAUUGCCUUUGAAACUGGCCAGCUAGAGUUCGGUAGGGGAUGAUGGAAUUCCUAGUGUAGAGGUGAAAUUCGUAGAUAUUAGGAGGAACACCGAUAGCGAAAGCGAUCAUCUGGGCCGAUACUGACGCUGAGGCGCGAAAGCGUGGGGAGCAAACAGG